UACGGGACCCCCAUGCUGGGUCCGGGAACCCUGCACCAUGUGCAGGUACAGGACCCCUCCGCCGGGGACGGGGACUCCCCAUGCCGGGUAUGGGGACCCCUCUGCACUGGGUACAGGGAUCCCCCCCACCCCAGGUACAGGUACGGGACCCCCAUGCUGGGUCCGGGAACCCUGCACCAUGUGCAGGUACAGGACCCCUCCGCCGGGGACGGGGACUCCCCAUGCCGGGUAUGGGGACCCCUCUGCACUGGGUACAGGGAUCCCCCCCACCCCAGGUACAGGUACGGGAACCCGCACGCCAGGUAUGGGGAUCUCCUCUGAUGCCAGGUACAGGUACGGGACCUCCAAGCUGGAUAGGGGGACACCCCCCCCCCGGCCGGGUACAGAGAUCUGCUCUUACGCCAGGUACAGGGAACCCCCUGUGACGGGUUCGGUCCCAGCGACCCCCUUGGGUCUGUCACCCGACGUGCUGGAAUUACCCCUGAGCCCGGUUUCCCUGCCAGCCUGGGUCUCCAGCACCCUGCCCUGCUGAGCCCGACAUGCUAGCCUGCUGCAGCGCGCCCCCAAAGCUGCAGCUUCAACCCAAAACUGCUCAGCACCCAGACCCCCAGCUCCCGACGGGGUACAGCCCCUGUAGAAAUCCGCUUCCCUCUGGGUAAAGCUUGUGCAGGGGAAACUCAGAAACUGUCCGCCCCCCCUAACGCUGGGAGCGAGAGGUUCACGGCUGUUUGCUCCCCCAGGAAUGAGUCACUUACUCGGCUUUAGUAAUAAACAAAAGUGAUUUUAUUACGGAUAAAAAGGAGGAUUUAAGACGUUCAAAGUAAUAACAGCCGGAACAAAGCAAGUUACCAAGCA